UUACUUUUUGAAUCCUCAGACUGUGUUGAUUUAAAAGCAAGAACAUUCUGGUGUCAUAAUAAGACAAAAACACUGAGGGGCUACACUUUAUUGCUACCUAAUUCUCCUCAUGACCACUUUUUUUUUUUUUUUUUUUUGCUGAGGAAGAUUUGCCCUGAGGUAACAUUUGUGCUCCUCUAUUUUGUAUGUGGGACACUGCCUCAGCAUGGUCGCUGAUGAUUGGUGUAGGUCCACGCCCGGGAACUGAACCCAGGCAGCCGCAAUGGAGCACACCGAACUUAACCAUUAGGGCCUGGGGCUGGCCCCUCACGACCACUUUUUAUAUGUAAAGCUUGGUGAUUGCCAGUGUGAAUGCACAAUUUUUCAGGUUAACAGAAUCCCAACAGCCACAGAAAAGAAGAAACAGUGGAGUCUGCUUCUUCCCAUACGGGAGGCACACCACGCAGACGUUUUCAAACUUGAGAAGACCCCAGCAUGAGUAGAGUGAAAGUUUGUACAAUAGAGUAGGAUAUACACAGACACACAGUUGUAAAGGAAAAACUCUUUCCUUUUCCUUCUCUAUACACGACACUCACACUUCACUUCUGACACUUCUAGUCACCAAACGUGUGGGCUUUUCCCCACACCAAACAAUUCGAUUCUCUGCAGACACCAGCUGGGUGGCCUACAAUUCAAUCCUGACACUGUCUACCUGGAGAUGGCAUCAGACCCUCCAGGUGAGGGGCUCAGCCCCACAAGACCGCCCCCUGUUCAGAUGCUGGUCACAAGUCCGGGUUGUUGCCUGCGCUUCUGACCUGCUGGCUAUAAAGCGGAGGUUCCCACAACCACUUCGGAUGUAAGCAAGGCAAAUGUAAGAGUAAAGAGCAGUUUAGACCCCUUUGCUCUUUAGUCUUACUUCUCUAUUUCCCUUCUGGACUGGGUGACAACAGCAGGAUUGAAUGACAUUGCUGCUUGUGAGUGACACUAUCAGGAUUGAUAAUGGGUGGCAAAUGCAAAAAGAAGCAAGACUCUAAAAAAUACCAUUCUGGGCCAGCCCUGAUGGCCUAGCAGUUAAAGUUUGGUGCUCUUACCACUUCAGCGGCCCGGGUUCGCUUCCUGGUCUUGGAACCACACCACCUGUCUGUCAGUAGCCAUGCUGUGGCAUCAUCCCACAUAGAAGAACUGGAAGGACUUCCAUCUAGGAUAUACAACUAUGCACUGGGGCUUUGGAGAGGAAAAAAAAAAGAGGCAGACUGACAACAGAUGUUAGCUCAGGGCGAAUCUUUCCCUGAAAAAAACCCCAUUCUGUAAAGGGCGUUGUUUACUCUGUCCGUUCUGUCUGGGCCCAGAAUCUUCACCAAGACUAUCAGUUGUGAAUACAUCUUUAAAAUACUUAAAAGGAUGUUUUAGAUUUCAGAACUUGAUAAAGUUCACAAAAGAAACUGAUGAAGAAUUAUAGAAACCACACUUUGAGAUUAACUAUAUAACUGAAGCACAAAUGUGUUAGGUAUUUGUCUUUACUAAAAUGUUUCAAACUGUUGAGAGUAUAAACAAGAAACGUCCUUCUUUUUUCCAAUGCCUCCCCAACAAUACCGAAGGGCUUCCGUUUUUUCAGAGAGUGGCUCCUAUGGUACCUUACACAUAUUCUCUGCUUUUCAGGCACCUUAUUGGAACAGUCACAAUCUAAGAUCAGAGAAUCAAUCCUGUCAACUUGAAACCAUCAGCCUCCAGCUCUUCUUCCCUCCUCCCGCUCGCCAAUCCCCAGUGCAAGAGAGCUCGAGAUGGAGGCAGUGGGGGCAACCCAGCUCUCGGGCACCUGCUUCUCCUGCCUCUUCUAGGCUUGGUGCCCUUGGCUUGUGGCAGAGGGAAGGGAGGGGGUAAGGGCAAGUGCUUCCCUGCUUGACCGGGCGAGGACGCAGUCUUCGUUGACUGGAUGUUGGUAACUUCUACCUGGCAAUGUCCAAAGCUGGAUGUCUUUGGCUGCAAGCCAAAGUGAGGCUUCUCUGAGGGAGCCUGCGGGGCCCCUACUCCCUGGCUUUCUGAGGGUGGACAUCUGGCUCCAGCUCCCUGGCCCCCUUCAUUCCUCAUGCUGCAGCUCUUCCGUCUUGCUGCUCAGCCCACUCACCUCCCCUGGUAUUCACACCACCGGUGGGAAACCUCACUAUCCUCGCCACACCAGGGGAUGGGCAUGGGGCUACUGUCCAUUGUCCUGGCCUCUCAGUCCAUCAGGUGCAAUUUCUGCUUCCCUACUCAGCUCCAGGAGACCAGCAAAUCCAUGGCCAAGCAAACGUCCAACAGAGAAGAGAGACGUGUCCCCCCUCCUUUCAUAAACUCAAUCUUCAGAAGUGAUUCGCCUUGAGCACGCUCCACUCCAACUACUUUUGGGAACAGCUUGUCCACAGACGUUGCUUUCUCCACAAUAGGCGUCCUUUUCCUCUCUUGUUUCUUUGACUAACAGUAGAUAGGAGUGCUGGUGGUGGUGACAGGGCUGGUUGUGACACUGCUCAGUUGAUACUGUGCGGUUAUUAAAAGUUAUUUUAAGUUACGAUGUGGAGCAUUUGAUGCAUUUUAUUUUCAG
ensembl:lncRNA